UACGAAGGGGGCUAGCGUUGCUCGGAAUCACUGGGCGUAAAGGGUGCGUAGGCGGGUCUUUUAAGUCAGGGGUGAAAUCCUGGAGCUCAACUCCAGAACUGCCUUUGAUACUGAAGAGCUUGAGUCCGGGAGAGGUGAGUGGAACUGCGAGUGUAGAGGUGAAAUUCGUAGAUAUUCGCAAGAACACCAGUGGCGAAGGCGGCUCACUGGCCCGGUAUGACGCUGAGGUGCGAAAGCGUGGGGAGCAAACAGG
rnacentral:rRNA from 1 species